rnacentral:rRNA from 1 species
UCUAUUGAUUAUGUUUACAAUUUAUUAUUAGGUUAGUGUGCCUUUUGCAUCAUGCUUAGUGGAAAGUUUGGAACACUCCUUUGACCGAAAAAUCCAGAUCUCUUUUGCUAUUGGAGAGAAAAAACCCGGGUAGGGUUUAUUCAAAUAGUAUUUGUGGUGUGAAAAAUUAAACGUUGGUUUUUAUAGCUGUUCAAUGGUGUUUAAAUUUUUACUUACGUAGCGAAGAGGUUACGUAAGAGUGUAUACCUGUUUGUUCAUUGUUUUUAUGAAAGGGUUAAAAUUACCCUCUUGUUAUAAAAAUGUUAAAAUUUUUUUGAGCGUGUCUACCUGGUUAUGCUUUAUUCACCAUUUGUUUCAACAUUUAGUCUCAUUUAUCACUAAAUAAGUAAUUUAAAUAUAUCUGAUUGUUUCUCAAGACUUGUCCGUCUGUUUAUUAAAAACAUUUCCAUAUAUUAUCUUUUAUGGUAUUACCUGCUCUAUGCUUUUGUAAAUGGCCGCAGUAUCUUGACUGUGCGAAGGUAGCAUAAUUAAUUGCCCCAUAAUUAGGGGCUUGUUUGAAUGGUUUGACGUGAUAAUAUCGAACACUCAGUGUUUAAUUGAAAUUAAUAUUGAGGGCACAGAAUCCUCAGGUGUUAAUUAGACGGAAAGACCCCGGGAUCUUUUAUUUUUGCCUGGGGCAGGUGUAAAUGUUUCAUUUAUAUUAAGACCCUCUUGGUCUAUUGGGAUAAGUUACCCCGGGGAUAACAGUGUAAUAAUUUAUUAGAGGUCUUAUCGAAUAAAUUGUUUGCCACCUCGAUGUUGACUUAGGUGUUUAGCUAGGGCGCAGUAGUUUUAGUUGUAGGUCUGUUCGACCUUUGUCACCUCCAUGAGUUGAGUUAAGACCGGUGUAAGCCAGGUCGGUUCUUAUCUAUUUUUCUGGCUCACUAGUACGAAAGGAUUGUGAGUUGUUUUAUU